rnacentral:rRNA from 1 species
UUGGAGGGCAAGUCUGGUGCCAGCAGCCGCGGUAAUUCCAGCUCCAAUAGCGUAUAUUAAAGUUGUUGCAGUUAAAAAGCUCGUAGUUGAAUUUCGGGGUUCAUACGUUGGUCGGGCUUUUUGGUCUGUACUAGCGUAAUGGAUUCCUACCUUCUGAAUAACCGGCAUGUCAUUAAUUUGGUGCGCCGGGGAAGCAGGACUGUUACCUUGAAAAAAUUAGAGUGCUUAAAGCAGGCUAUCGCCUGAAUACAUUAGCAUGGAAUAAUGAAAUAGGACGGCAUGGUUCUAUUUUGUUGGUUUCUAGGAUCACCGUAAUGAUUAAUAGGGAUAGUUGGGGGCAUUAGUACUCAAUUGUCAGAGGUGAAAUUCUUGGAUUUAUUGAAGACUAACUUCUGCGAAAGCAUUUGCCAAGGAUGUUUUCAUUAAUCAAGAACGAAAGUUAGGGGAUCGAAGACGAUCAGAUACCGUCGUAGUCUUAACCAUAAACUAUGCCGACUAGGGAUCGGACGAUGUUAAUUUUUUAAUGACUCGUUCGGCGCCUUACGGGAAAC